ensembl:snRNA
AAGAAGGGCUUCUGCUGUGAGCAGCACACGGAGGGCAGUUUGCUUGCCCUACUUGCGGGAUUGACAUAAGAGAUUUUGGAAGCAUCAUUUUUGGCAGUAGGACAGCUGGUGAUCACUGGGCCUGGCCCGCCCCG